rnacentral:lncRNA from 10 species
GAAAGAGUGAAACUCCGUCUCAAAAAUAAAAAAAGAGAUGUUUGAGCUAAGAUCUGAAGGAUGGCAGACCUUAAGCUAGCUAGAGAAGGUAUUGCAGGUAGCUAGCCAAUAGCUUGGCAAGUUUGAGAAGCUAAGAGCAGCUGAGUAUGACUGGAACAGAAAAGAGGGGGCUGCAGCAGUGAGAUGAAUCCAGAAGGGCAGAUUCCACCCAGCAGAGGGCAGGGUAAGAGUCACAAGCAGUGCUGGACUGGCCUUUCCAACCGUGUUAAAUAAAACAUUUGGACCAUUCCCAAGGGUGAACAGGAAGCCAUUGAGGGCUUAUGACCUUGAUGGAAUCGGUGCUUGAGAAAACUCAAUUUUGUUUGGGGAGAAUAAGACUGGAGUCAGAAACUUGGUCCCACUGAUCAUACGAUAUAGUAACACAGGAAGAUUAAGGGUAGCUUUGUUGGCAUGGAGACAUUUCAAAGCUAUAAACAGUACAGGAGGCAUAAUUGACAGUUUUCCCAAUUUCUCUUAUCAGUCAGGAUAGGCUGGUUAUGUUGCUUUGUUUUGUUUGUUUGUUUUUUGAGAUGGAGUCUCAUUCUGUUGCCCAGACUGGAGUGCAGUGGUUCAAUCUCUCCUCACUGCAACGUCCGCCUCCUGGGUUCAAGCAA